CAUGCUCGGGCUGGUUGCUGACUCAAAAAGUCGUGCACGCUGGAGGGUGUCCUCUCACAUAAUAAUCCAUCUCACCCUUUGUGCAUCACCGCGUGGGCACCCUUUGGGAUCGGACCGAUCUCGGAAGGGGGCCCGCGUUUUCACACAAACCCCCCCAUCUAAAAGUGUAGAAUGUCCUCAUUUAUGCAAUAAAUACAACUUUCAACAACGGAUCUCUUGGCUCUCGCAUCGAUGAAGAACGCAGCGAAAUGCGAUACGUAAUGUGAAUUGCAGAAUUCAGUGAAUCAUCGAAUCUUUGAACGCACCUUGCGCCCCUUGGUAUUCCGAGGGGCACACCCGUUUGAGUGUCGUGAAAAUCUCAACCUCCUUGGUUUCUUCUGGAGACCGAUGGGGGCUUGGACAUUGGAGGCCUUUGCUGGUGUCUCUCUUGAAGGGCCCAGCUCCUCUUAAAUGAAUUAGCGGGGUCCUCUUUGCCGAUCCUUGACAUGUGAUAAGAUGUUUCCGUGUCUUGGUCUCUGGCUCUGUUGCUUUUGGGACCCGCUUCUAAUCGUCUCAACCUUGCGUCGAGACAAACGUCUGAUCGUGGCUCCCUUCCCUGGGAAACUCUCUCGACCUCACGAACCCUUGACCUCAAAUCGGGUGAGACUACCCGCUGAACUUAAGCAUAUCGCUAACCGGAGGAAAAGAAACUAACGAGGAUUCCCCUAGUGUCUGCGAGUGAAGCGGGAAAAGCUCAAAUUUAUAAUCUGGCGGUCAUUGGACGUCCGAGUUGUCAUUUAGAGAAACGUCUUCCGCGCUGGACCGUGUA
rnacentral:rRNA from 1 species